rnacentral:lncRNA from 1 species
AGCAACAACACAACAAGAUAGCACUAAAACUAGAGAAUAAAAAGGAGCACAAACACCAAAAACGCAGCUGCUGUUCGGGAAUGAAGAACAGAAGAUACAGGCCACCAAAUCCACCUCCGUCAAUUCCUAAUCAAAUAUUGAGAUGAGAGGAACAAGAUGUUCAAAAAUAAGCUCAAUCGGACAAGAAAUGAAGCGGGAAUCACAAUUUGAAGUUGACAGCUGUGGCUAAAAAUUUG